UACGGAGGGUGCAAGCGUUAUCCGGAUUUACUGGGUUUAAAGGGUGCGUAGGCGGGCAGGUAAGUCCGUGGUGAAAUCUCUGAGCUUAACUCAGAAACUGCCAUGGAUACUAUUUGUCUUGAAUAUUGUGGAGGUGAGCGGAAUAUGUCAUAUAGCGGUGAAAUGCUUAGAUAUGACAUAGAACACCAAUUGCGAAGGCAGCUCGUUACACGAAUGAUUGACUCUGAGGCUCGAAAGCGUGGGAUCAAACAGG
rnacentral:rRNA from 1 species